CCUANGGGAGGCUGCAGUGAGGAAUUUUGGACAAUGGGGGAAACCCUGAUCCAGCGACGCCGCGUGAAGGAUGAAGGUCUUCGGAUUGUAAACUUCUUUUAUUUGGGACUAAGAAACUUGUAGAAAUACAGGGAGUGAAUGUACCAAGUGAAUAAGCCACGGCUAACUUCGUGCCAGCAGCCGCGGUAAUACGAAGGUGGCAAGCGUUACUCGGAAUUACUAGGCGUAAAGGGCAGGUAGGUGGUUUGGUAAGUCUGUUGUGAAAGCUCCUGGCUUAACUGGGAGAGGUCAACGGAUACUGCCGGACUUGAGUAUGGGAGAGGUUACUGGAAUUCCCGGUGUAGCGGUGAAAUGCGCAGAGAUCGGGAGGAACACCAAUGGCGAAAGCAGGUAACUGGACCAUUACUGACACUCAGCUGCGAAAGCUAGGGGAGCAAACAGGAUUAGAUACCCCUNUANUC
rnacentral:rRNA from 1 species